GACGAACGCUGGCGGCGUGCUUAACACAUGCAAGUCGAACGGAAAGGCCCUGCUUUUGUGGGGUGCUCGAGUGGCGAACGGGUGAGUAACACGUGAGUAACCUGCCCUUGACUUUGGGAUAACUUCAGGAAACUGGGGCUAAUACCGGAUAGGAGCUCCUGCUGCAUGGUGGGGGUUGGAAAGUUUCGGCGGUUGGGGAUGGACUCGCGGCUUAUCAGCUUGUUGGUGGGGUAGUGGCUUACCAAGGCUUCGACGGGUAGCCGGUCUGAGAGGGUGACCGGCCACAGUGGGACUGAGAUACGGCCCAGACUCCUACGGGAGGCAGCAGUGGGGAAUUUUGCACAAUGGGCGGAGGCAUGAUGCAGCAACGCCGCGUGCGGGAUGACGGCUUUCGGGUUGUAAACCACUUUCGCCUGUGACGAAGCGUGAGGGAGGGAAAUGGGAAAAGAAGCACCGGCUAACUAGGG
rnacentral:rRNA from 1 species